GGGGGGAGGCCAGACCCUGGGCUGUGUCCCAGGAGCUCAGUGCUCCAGGGCCUGCGCUGUUGGAUUCGUGCUCCCGGUGGCGCAGCCGCUC
rnacentral:pre_miRNA from 1 species